UUUGAUCUGUUGCACACAGUUUAUUUAACAAUAUGGUAUAUAAGUAAGAAAUAAGUUUUUUAACCAGUUUAUACAGUGAUUCCAUUUUCUCUUCCUUAUAUUUAUAGUACUUUGCUUAAUAACUUGCAUGAUUUACAUUAAGAGGAAAAGUGGAGCCCCGAUUCAAGUUUGUGUGUGAGAGGAAUGAGGGUCGAUAGCAGGACUCUCAGUGUUCCCAAAAAGCAGUCAACCAGUGAUCGCUCAUUCCAAACCCACUCAGCUUGGGAAGGGGGGAGGGUGGGGGCUCCCUCACCUCUCGCUUUAUACUUAUAGAUCUGCAUCACAAAAUUAGGACCAAAAAAACCAAACAAACAAAACAAACAAAAAAAUCCAAAAAAAAGCAACAAUUUUCUACAUCUGUGAGACAAAUUUCUGGGUCCAGGCCAGUGAGAUGUCAUCUGGUUUUGCACAUCCAUUCAGGGUUGUUGCCGUACUGUGUUUCUGAUGAGCUUUUGUGUGUGUGUGUGUGUGUGUGUGUGUGUGUGUUUAUGUCUAUCAACACAAACAAGUAGUUCUCCUCAAAAAGACUUCACAAUGAGGAAAGGAGGGUUAUCCUCCGAAACGUAGAUCUGGAAAGAACGGAAAAAAAGGGAAAGAAAAAGAAAAAAAAAACAAAACAAAACAAAAACAGAAACAGUACAACACUAGAAUACAAUCGUCAGGAAAGAUGAGAGCAGAGAAAACAUUGCCCAAAUUCCCAGACAAAUAAUUUUUUACAGUCUUUAAACACAAAUGUUUUAAAGUUAGACAGGGUACAAAAUAAAAAUGUAUGAAUAAUAUAAUGAACCUUUGUAAAUUUUCUUUUAAAAAAAAGAACAGGCAUGAGACCAUACCCCAAAAAAAACCCUGAAAACAAAAACACCAAAAAAAUUGUUCUUUUUUUUUUUUUUUUUUUUUAAACAAAACCAUGACCAUGUACGGUCUGAACCAAAAAAUAUAUUCUUUGUAAUUUAAAUCAUUUUAAACAAGACAUUUUCUAAUCCCUCAACUCAAAGGAAGAAAUCUCAGUCUUUAGGAAACAACAUUCCUGCAUUUGCUGACUUCUUUUUUUUUAUUAUUAUUAUUUAGGUUUUUUUUCCUUCUUCUUCUUAUUAUUACAUUUCAGGAACUUUUUACAUGUCAGUACAAAAAAAUUAUUUAUAGAGGAAAAAUGUGGGAGAAAAAGGAAGGAGGAGCCAAAAAUAGGAAAAGCUAGGAGCACUUUUUUUUUUGGGGGGGGGGGGGGGGGGGGUCGCUGAAAAUGCUACAACCUCUCCACAAAUUUCUCCAACGUGUCUCCUGUGGUAUCUCCGACCAUGGCUAGGUCGGUGGGCAGGCCGCCACGGCCCGGCGCGUUGAGCUGCGAGAGCAUGGUGCUCUGCUCAGAUGUGCCCAGGUGCCCCUGCUGCUCCAGGGUGGCGCCAGCGGGCAGGGGUGUUCCCAGGCCAGGGUGAGGCGAGGCGGAGUGGGGUGAGGGCUGCGGCUGGACCUGCGGCGAGGGGCUGGAGUGCUGCUGCGAUGGUGGUCGUGGGGACUGCACAGGUGCUGGAGAGCGAACCUGGCUACCCAGCGUGCUGCCUGGCAUGGGCUGUCCAGGUAGCAGGUGGCCUUGCGGACUCAUAGGGUUUGGUGGUGCCGGCGAGCCCAUCUGGGUCUUGAGGACUGCCUGCUGCUGCUGCUGUUGCUGCUGCUGCUGUUGUUGGAGCAUGCGUUGGUGGAUCAAGGUCUGUGUAGCAUCCAAUCCUGACUGCCCCAUUUGUGGCAUUGGCGGAAGUUGGCUCAUGGGUCCACCAGCGCCUAGCAUUUGUUGUUGGUGUUGCAUGCGAAGUUGCGAGUAGCUGGAUGCAGCACCCUGCGCUUGAGGGAACUGGCCAUGCGCUUGAGGCAUCACACCCUGUUGCUGCUGCUGCUGCUGCUGCUGUUGCUGUUGUUGCUGUUGUUGCUGCUGCUGCUGUUGAUGGCGCAUCAGCUGCCGACGGUACAACUCUAGCUGCGCUGGGCUCAUCUGUUGACCCUGCGCUGGGCCGAGAGCCGCCAUGCCUUGUGUGUUUGGCUGUUGAGGUUGUUGCGUUGGCAUGCCAGGUCUUUGGACACCCUGCAAGGCUGCCAUGGCUUGCAUUGUGGGCUGCAUGCCCUGUUGUUGCUGCUGCUGUGGCUGGCUGGCAUACUUCGCUGUCCUCUGCUUGAUGAAAGCUGCCAUGAGCUGCGGGUUGGACUUGAGGAUGUUAAGCACCUGCUGCUGUUGCUGCGGUGAGCUGGGAGACUUGAGUGUGCGCAGAAGGUCUUGCAGGGCAUUCGGUGCGAUGGCUGGAGGUCUCUGGGGUGCUUGGGGUGGCCGCUGGCCCUGCGCAGGCACCAUCAUGCGCUGCGAAGGCUGCUGAGGCAUCAUGGGCCUCUGCAUUGGCAUGGCUUGCUGUGGGCCUUGCGGCGCCUGCUGCUGCUGUGGCUGCGGUUGAGCCGCCUGCUGCAUUCCCGCUUGCAUUCCCGCUUGUGGCCACUGGCCCGGCGGCAUGCCUUGCAUGACCUGCUGUCCCCGAGGUCCCACCAUCUGCAUAGGAGGCUGCAUGGCGCCCGGCAUACGCUGCUGUGCUUGCUGGUGGUUCAUGGCCAAGCCGUUUACAGCCAUGCGGUAGUUCUGGCUCUGCUGGGCCUGCGCCAUCAUCUCGAUCUUGCGUGCCAUUUGGACGGCAGCAGCAGGCGGGUGCUGCGGUUGCAGUGGCGGCUGCUGCUGCUGUUGCUGCGGUUGCUGAUGCUGCUGCGGUUGGGGUUGGGGGAGUGGAGACGGCUGUUGGUGCAGCGGUGAAGCCUGCGCACUUGAUUUACCCUGGGAUACUUGCUGGCCAUUGCGGGGGGCAGCAGGAUACGUGGGAGACAUGACACCGGCGUUGGGCGUGGUUGGCUGGCUAGGAAGGAGGGGCUGUGGCGUUUGGGGCGUGUUUGGCUGCUGCUGCGGCGGCUGCUGGUGUGCUGUGGGGGUGCCCGGAGCGGCAGAAGGCGGAGGGGACGGCAGGCUUUGGGGUCCGGCGCGGCCUUGCAUGGUGGCCAUGCGCCGUCGCAUCAUCUGGGCCUGCUGGAGGCGGUGCUGCAGCUGCUGCUGCCGCAGCUUGUGCUUAAUGUUGAGGCAGAAGGGCACAGGGCACUUGUUCUCCUGGCAGUGCUUGGCAUGGUAACAGCAAAGCGCGAUGAGCUGCUUGCAGACAGGGCAGCCUCCGUUGGUCUUGCGCUUACAACCCUUGGUGUGCUGCACCACCCGCUUCAUCUUCUGGCAGGACGGAAGUGAGCAGUUGGCGUUGCGACACUGACAGGCAUGCACCAGGGACUGGAUGCAGCGCUGGAUGCUCAGACGCCGGCUCUCCUGCGGGCUCUUGGAGGCCUCGCCACUCUGACUGUUGCUGUCGUCAUCCAGACCGAGACCCCACUUGACCAUCUGGUGUUCGUGGCCCUUAGUGUUGUAGCAGUUGAUGCACAAGUCGAAGUCCUAAAAAGGAAACACAAUGGAGGAGAUUCAUUCUCACUGAAGAUGACCACAUGUAAGGAAAUACUAACCCUAACUCCCAAACUGACACCCCCCCACCCCUCUCCCUUUCAC
ensembl:lncRNA